UGAGUAACCUGCCCUUAACUCUGGGAUAAGCCUGGGAAACUGGGUCUAACACCGGAUAUGACUCCUCAUUGCAUGGUGGGGGGUGGAAAGCUUUUUGUGGUUUUGGAUGGGCUCGCGGCCUAUCAGCUUGUUGGUGAGGUAAUAGCUCACCAAGGCGAUGACGGGUAGCCGGCCUGAGAGGGUGACCGGCCACACUGGGACUGAGACACGGCCCAGACCUCCUACGGGAGCAG
rnacentral:rRNA from 1 species